AUGCUCCGGGGGCCCGGGGCUCCCCCGGCCGCUCCGGGAAGCUCCGCCCGGGAGCGGAUGGAGCCGCCGCCGCUGACCCAGGAAGUGCCGCCCCUCAAGGCGGCUCCUCCUCCUCUUCUUCAUCCCUGUUCCGUUCUCCUCCUCUUCUUCAUCCCUGUUCCGUUCUCCUCUUCUUCAUCCCUGUUCCGUUCUCCUCUUCCUCAUCCCUGUUCCGUUCUACUCUUCCUCUUCAUCCCUGUUCCAUUCUUCUCCUCCUCUUUUUCAUCCCUGUUCCGUUCUCCUCCUCUUCUUCAUCCCUGUUCCGUUCUCCUCCUCUUCUUCAUCCCUGUUCCGUUCUUCUCUUCCUCUUCUUCAUCCCUAUUCUGUUCUUCUCCUCCUCCUCUUCUUCAUCCCUGUUCCGUUCUCCUCCUCUUCAUCCCUAUUCUGUUCUUCUCCUCCUCCUCUUCUUCAUCCCUCUUCCGUUCUUCUCCUUCUCUUCUUCAUCUCCAUCCUUAUCUGCUCUUCUUCAUCCUCAUCCUGCUCUCCUCCUCCUCCUCCCCUUCUUCAUCCCCAUCCUCAAUUCUUCUUCCUCCCUUUCUUCAUCUUCAUCCUGCUCUCCUCCUCUUCCUCCCCUUCUUCAUCCCCAUCCUGCUCUCCUCCUCCUCUUCUUCAUCUCCAUCCUCAUCUCCUCCUCUUCCUCCCCUUCAUCCUCAUCCUGCUCUCCUCCUCUUCAUCUCCAUCCUCAUCUCGCUCUUGUCCUCCUCUUCCUCCCCUUCAUCCUCAUCCCAUUCUCCUCCUCCUAUUCUUCAUCUCCAUCCUCAGCCCGUUCUUCUCCUCUUCCUCCUCGUCUUCAUCCUCAUCCUGCCCUCCUCUUCCUCCUCUUCUUCAUCCUCAUCCUGCCCUCCUCUUCCUCCUCGUCUUCAUCCUCAUCCUGCCCUCCUCUUCCUCCUCCUCUUCUUCAUCCCUGCGCUGCUCUCCUCCUCCUCCUCCUCUUCUUCAUCCUCAUCCCACUCUCUCCACCUCCUCUUCUUCUUCCUCCUUCUCUUCUUUCUCACCCCCUCCCUCCUCAUCCCCCUCCUCCUCCUCCUCCUCCUCCUCCUCCCCCCAUUCCAAACUGGGAGCACUGGGAAAGGCCCCGGCUCUGAAUUUCUGAGGGGCAGCAGGGGCAGGGCCGGGCCUGCCGGUGCUGAGGGAACACGAGGGACACCGGGGAAGCUGCACCAGAAUUUAACGCCCAAUAAAUAA
rnacentral:lncRNA from 1 species